CUUAACCCACUGAGCAAGGCCAGGGAUGGAACCUGCAUCCUCAUGGAUCCUAAUCGGAACAAGUAAUUAAGACAACACUUGUGAGCUCUAAUUUGGAUCACACGUACGUGGAUGUGUUAGGAGCUGCAAGCCAAAACAUGCAAAACCAGCCUUUCAUCGAGGAGAAAAGGAAAAGUCUGGAAUGCAAGGGAACACCGGGGAGCCGAACGCGGCUGCGUGAACCAGAACCCACUGCUGACGGCCCAUCCCGUUAGAGCCCGCGCCUUUGGCUACACCCGCGUGCAGCCCGGGGCCGUGGGGGCUGUGUCAUGCCACGCAGCGGACCUGGAGCUGGUGAUGGGUCCCUCAGCUCAGAGCUCGCCAGCACGAGGAACUGGGGUCUGCCUGCCUGUCCGUCCGUCCGUCUGUCGCCUUCCCAAGCUGCACGGAGCCCUGGUGGAGCACGGUGUCAGGGACAGAGGCAUGUCUGGACUAGCCGAGCCCUUGUGGUCAAUCUGCCAAGCCUCGGGCUCCGAAGCAGAGGCCCAGGGGCAGGGGUGGCGGUGGGGAGCAGUGGCCAAGCCCCCUGGGAACCUGCAGGUUGCCUCUGAGCCACAGGGCUGUUGUGGCCCUGGGUCUGACCCAGAGUCAUGACCAGAUGGUCAAGCGGGCGUGCAGUGUACGUCUGGGGACCAGAGCCACGCAAGGAACAAGAACGUCUCCAUGCAGGUUGGAUGAGGCUUGGGCGGUGGGCAACCUUGGAGAAGGUUCUGUCAUGAAUGGUUUCACCUCGGCCGAGAGGGCGCCGGGGUCCAGGGCGCGCCGACGGCCCCCACCCCGCCCUGCCCCCCGUGACUGGUGCGUGUCCAGCCGGCCAGUGCAAAGCAGCACAACAGAUCACGGUACCCGAAGUGAAAUUCACAGACAAGAAAUACUUUAAUUAAAUAUUGUGUAAAAUGAA